rnacentral:misc_RNA from 1 species
GGUCAACUUGUAAAGGGGAAAAACUCAAAACUGCAGGACAUGUUUAAGUAUAUGCACCAAACAUAGAGAAACAAUUUGCUGGGAUUGGAUUCCUCCAAAUUGAAAUAGAAAGACUGCAGAAUAUUAAAACCAAAUGGCGCACAUACCAAAUGAGUGUAAGAUAGAUUGAGCAACAAAUUUAAUCAUGUAUUCAAUAGUUAAAGCACAUCUUUAUUUCUAAA